rnacentral:rRNA from 1 species
AUGAACGGCCAUGGCCGCCCGGAAAUACCUGAUCCCUUUCCGAACUCAGCAGUCAAGCGGGCGCACGUUCCAGGCAGUACUGCAUUUUCAUGCGGGAACCCAGGUUCGCUGUUCAUC